AUGCCUUACACAUGCAAGUCGAACGGUAACAGGUCUUCGGAUGCUGACGAGUGGCGAACGGGUGAGUAAUACAUCGGAACGUGCCCGAGAGUGGGGGAUAACGAAGCGAAAGCUUUGCUAAUACCGCAUACGAUCUCAGGAUGAAAGCAGGGGACCGCAAGGCCUUGCGCUCACGGAGCGGCCGAUGGCAGAUUAGGUAGUUGGUGGGAUAAAAGCUUACCAAGCCGACGAUCUGUAGCUGGUCUGAGAGGACGACCAGCCACACUGGGACUGAGACACGGCCCAGACUCCUACGGGAGGCUGCAGUGGGGAAUUUUGGACAAUGGGCGCAAGCCUGAUCCAGCCAUGCCGCGUGCAGGAUGAAGGCCUUCGGGUUGUAAACUGCUUUUGUACGGAACGAAAAGACUCCUUGUAAUAAAGGGGGUCCAUGACGGUACCGGAAGAAUAAGCACCGGCUAACUUCGUGCCAGCAGCCGCGGUAAUACGUAGGGUGCGAGCGUUAAUCGGAAUUACUGGGCGUAAAGCGUGCGCAGGCGGUGAUGUAAGACAGAUGUGAAAUCCCCGGGCUCAACCUGGGAACUGCAUUUGUGACUGCAUCGCUGGAGUGCGGCAGAGGGGGAUGGAAUUCCGCGUGUAGCAGUGAAAUUCGUAGAUAUGCGGAGGAACACCGAUGGCGAAGGCAAUCCCCUGGGCCUGCACUGACGCUCAUGCACGAAAGCGUGGGGAGCAAACAGGAUUAGAUACCCUGGUAGUCCACGCCCUAAACGAUGUCAACUGGUUGUUGGGUCUUCACUGACUCAGUAACGAAGCUAACGCGUGAAGUUGUCCGCCUGGGGAGU
rnacentral:rRNA from 1 species